rnacentral:tRNA from 1 species
GCGGAUGUGGUGAAAUUGGUAGACACGCCAGAUUUAGGUUCUGGUGCCGAGAGGCGUGGGGGUUCAAGUCCCUCCAUCCGCACCA